AAAGGUGAACCCUAAAAAAAGUAAAGUUCGAGUUCUGUUCUCUCUCUCGUGUGCGUACUAUUGUGUUUUUUAUUUUCCUCUUUCAUGUUAGAUCUGUAAAUUCUUCUUCUUCUUCUUCUCGUUUUUAUUAAAACACAAAUUAGAUGAACAACUAAAGGUUAUGUCCUCUCUCUCUCUCUCUCUCUGAUCUGAGAAAAUAAAAAGCUUAUAUUUUAAAGCUUGAGAUUUUUGUUAUUCAUUUUGUUCUUAUUAUUAUACAACAGAAUGGUCAGAUUGAAAAACAUUUUUUUUUCUUCUCGUUUUUAUAGAACACAAAUUUAGAUGAACUACUAAAGGUUGUGUCUGUUUUUUUUUCCUCUCUCACUUUUAGAUCUGAGAAAAUAAACGCUUAGAUAUUUUAGAUUUUUAUUAUUCGUUUUGUUCUUAUUAUUAUUAUACAACAGAAUGGUUAGAUUGAAAGCUAAGGUUGUUUUCAGUCAGAGAGAAGAGGCCCUAAGGGUUUACUUUCAAUCUCUACAAACAAAAGAUAACAUAGGGAUGCCAUCAACCUUUUUUUUGUAAUUUCUCCAUCAACCUAAACCUAAGAUGCCUCCGGAUUUGUUUUUAUCUAACUUUUGAUGUGGAUCUGUUUUCAUAUUAAUGUUCAAUUUAUGUUGUUAUUUUGUAUGAUGUACAUGUUUGAUUCUCAUUCUCUUGUUCAACAACUAGGUUUUAUGAUUAUAUGAUGAGCUGUUAUAGCCAUUUUUUUAUAAUUAAUUUUGGUGAACUAUUUGGUUUAUUUUCUUUCAAAUAUUGAUUUCAUUUGUGUACCAUAGAAAAGAUAUGUUACAAUUUUUUAUAAAGGAAUGAUAGACAGCUUUUGUGUAAAUUGCAUUUAUCUUUGAUAUAUGAGAAGGGCCUCUCACCAAAUUCAUUCGUAGUAUCUAUGUUAUCAAUGGCGGCGGCUGCUAUAGCUCCGCGUCAAAUUUGAGCCAGCCACUACAGGGCAUGGUGGAGCGGUGAAUUUUGGUGCUGCACGCUAUUCCAGGUUUCGGGCGCAAUUUUGGUCGCGGGUCGACGGCGCUUUUAAUGAUGGAGGGUAAUUUUGGAGUUUUUCUAAACCCUAAUCUCCAUAUUUGGUUUCACGCCCUCUCUUUCUCUCUAUUCCAACCACUCUCUCUCUCUUGUUUUUUCCCACUUAUUUUUUUUACUCUGUAUCUCUGUUUAUGUUGCUCUGUUUCUUCUAGCUCUGUUUCUUUAUUGACUUUCUUCUAGCUGUUGUUCAUAUAGGCAAGAAUAUAGAAACAUUUUUGCUCCUUUCUCAUCAUCUCACUUUCUUUUUUAUUAUUUUAUUUAUUUUUCACUAGCUCUGAUCUCUGUUUCUUUAUUCUAUUUGCUAAAUCAACAUAGUUUUUUUUAUUCUGUUUAUAUUUAUUCUAUUGCUAAAUAUUAUUUUUAAAAUUAUUAUGUGUUGAUAUAAUCUGUUGCUAAAUAACGUCGUUCUUAAAGAUUAUUUUGUUGCUAUUAAAAUAUUUAUUUAUUUUUUAUCGUCCACGUCCCUAAAGUAGCGCCCGCGACGCUCCCCACUACCGCACCGCGUCAAUUUUGGGGUUGUCCGCGCAGUGCCGCUUUUCCGCAUUAACAACAUAGCGCAGUAAUGAAUGUAAUGAUUUGAAAGUUACCCUAUCUAUGGUUAGCUUGGAAAUUAGUGUUUGCGAUCUUUCUCACGGUGAUGGGUAGAUUAACAAUAACAAGCAGUUCAAAACCAGGAAGCAAAUGCUUAGAAUUUAGGCAUGAAAAAGGCAAAUUGAACAUUUCAAAAGUUUCAUUUAAAUUUUAGGCGAUUGUUUACUUGUCAUUUCCCUUUUCUGAAUCCUUUCUAAACGAACUCUAAUAUCUGCUUAUUAGGCAAUUAGGCAAUAACACGGUGAGUUGGAUCAAUUUGAAAGGCUUGUGAAUAAAUAUAUGGUAACAUUUGUUCAACAAGUGGACUGGCUCAAUCACCUCACUACUUUGAAAAUCGAGGAAUGUGAAAGGUUGUAAAACAGAAGUUCUCUUCUUUUUUUACCUGGUCGUGGCCUUCUGUAGGUUAGCAUCAAGUUCUUUUUCAGGAUUGUCAUCUUCCUUUUGGUGAGGGAUUGCAUGCAUGGAUUUUUCACUUUAACUGGGUAGCAGAAGCUUAUGCUCUGGGCAUCAAAAGAAUGACGGGAAAUUCCCUAAUUCUACAUCUAAAAGGUUAGUAGGAAUUUUGUAUUUGUUUGCGUUAUUGUUUUCGAGAUAUAUUCAGAUUAGCAUACUUAUGGUAUUCUGAAUUAUCCUUGUUUGUUAGUUGCUCCUGAAUCAUCCAGAUUAGCAUACUUUCAGUAUUCUGAAAGCCAACCCAACCCGAUUUGAAAAUCCCAAUUCAUUUUAAUAACAAAUCGGCCCAACAUGUUUUUGGAAAUGACCCUGCAACAGGAACUUGUUCCUGACCACAGUGAUGCACAAAGAAUGACCCCUUGACAGAGUCUAAGCACGGGUGGCUGGCCGGAGCACGUAAAGUCGUGCGACCCUACGACCCAACACUCGACCCUGACUGUAACCUAUAAAUUAUAACAAUAUAAUUCUGUUUUUAUAACUUCAUCAAAUCAUGUACAUCUUUUAAAAAAGAUUAUAAUAUAAUUUUUGAAGUGUGAUCCCAAACCUUAAUUCUAUUUAAUCCUGCCGCCAGUUUUUUCAAAUCAUGUACGCCAGUAGUUUAGCUAUUCAGGGUAAAUUCAUUUUUUUUUUUGAGAUCCAUUGAAUGAGGUAUUGAAUAUGCUAGCAUGCUACAUCUAUGCAAAACUAUACAAAUAUACUAAACAGCAAAUAUUGUUUAAUAUCAAUAUUGGAAUUUGCUAGAAUGCAACAUCUAUUUAAACCUAUACAGAUAUCAUAAACAGAAAAUAUUGUUCUUUAUAGGUCAAUUACCCAUUCUAGUUUGCCUCGAUUCUCCUUGCAGCAGUAUAAGCCUUUUACUUUGCAAUCCUUGUUUAGCACCUUUCCUUCCCUUUGUGUUAAAACCUCCAUUUGUGUGCUUAUGCCAAUUCCAUUUCCAUCUUUAUUAUAAAUUCCAAAUUGUGCCACACUGUUAUCAAUGUUGCAAAAUUGUCCCAUUUUAAAGCGGAAACCAAUUUUGUUGUCAUUGACCCAUCCUCCAUUCACCAACAUUUCCCUACGAUUACUAUAACAAGAAAAUUAAUAAUGGAUUAUAAUUUUAAUAUGUCAUCUUUAUUAUUUUAUAUUUUUUUUUACUUACACUUGAAUAGAAAAGUUAAGCCAUCCUAAAUCAAUCACGAGAGCUCCACCAAUAGUUAUUGGAUUUCCAAUACAUAGAUCUGCUGUGAGUUUCAUCAAUUUCCCAGCCCUUAACCCUCCAGAAACAGUCAAUGUAUUUCCUUUACCAUGCUCAUACUUGGCUUUUAGUAAGCCGUCCAUGGGUAUUUGGAAGGGUAUCUUUGGAAUGUUUAUUUGAUUUGGAACGUCCAUCGGUAUUUGGAAGCUCAUCUUUGGAGUGUUUAUUUGAAUUGGAAUGUCUUUCCAAGCAUAUUCCAUUCCAAUUGACUGAAAUUUACAUAUUCAGAUUGAUAAAAUAAUUCAGAACACAUGUUUUUAAUAGGUUUUCAUGAAUCUAACUAAAAAAUUGUAUGGUUAAAAUAGUUAUGACAAUUUGUGAGGCUUUUGUGUGUUCUAAUUAAGUAAUGAGGGAAUUAAUAUCAUUAAGUAUUGUGUGUAAAAUUCUGAUCAGAAUGAUAUUAAUGAUAUUAAUGUUUGUAUGUCUCUAACUUCGGAGAAGAAGAGAGGAAGGUAUUCAAGGAAAUGCAUGUAUUUAAUAGGUUUGUAUGUAUCUAACUCUCAACUUGUGAUGGCUAAAAUUAGGACUGUUCUAAAAUAACCAUAUACUGAACUGAACCGCGAACCGAACUGAACCAAAUGAAGAGUUCGCAAACUGAACCUAUAUUUAAAAGCACAGUUCACUAACCAUAGCUGAACCGCAAAUAACUGAACCAAACCAUUAUGAACUGAACUGCAUGUGCUAGUAACUUAUUUCAAUUUUUUAUUUUUUUUUUCAAAAUUAAAUCACGUUUCAGUUCUUCAGUUCAUCUAAAUACUGUGAUUCACAAACUGAAGAACUGAAAAAGCCCCAAAACAAUUACGAUCAAUUUUGAGUAUAACAAACUAAUUUGCAGUUCAGUUUGUAAAGUAGUUGUGUAUUUGUAAAUCACAGUGAAUUGUUUGUAAGUCACAAAUAAAUUUUUUGAGCACACAACACAGCACUCUCCUGCUUCUGUUCAUAAGUUUUGAAAUGUUCAGAAUAACAAACACUAUAGUGUUUACACCAUGCCUGUUUCCAAAACAUGCAAUUAUGCUUGUGGUGGAGGGAGGGGGUAAUUUCGUCUGGCAGUUAAAAUUGGGAAAGAAUGAAGAAAAUAUGGAGAAUGUUUUGUCCGUCUCUGAAAUAAAUCGCUGCAUAAAAGUUUUCCAAAUAACAGAGGAUUAAACUUUUCCAAACAGAGUUUUAAAAUUUUCCAAUUUUGGUUCGGUUCAGUUCAAAAAUAGUUAACCAGUCCACUGAACUGUUAUAACAGUACAGUUUUUCGAACUAUCAUAACAGUUCAGUUUUCUCUCCGAACAGAACAAUGAACAGUCACAAGUGAAUUAAUAUUAUAUAUACUGUGUGAAUAAUUGUGAUCAUUUUACAAACGUAUUUAUUGACGAAAAUGAGAGUGCAAUAUAAAUAAGUUAGUUAGGUAAUACUUACAAGUGAUUUUUUUCUAAUGAUGUUCGUUCCAAACUCAAUGUUCAAAUUGGGAUUGAAUUUGUUCACUUUUAAAUUCAAUCCAACCAUGUGUUUUUCUUUUGAACCAUGAAAAAAUUCCUGCAUUUGAUGCGGAUGUCAGCUUUUUUUUCAUACGAAUGUCAACUUAGUAAUAUCAACUAAAUGUGUACAAGAUUUCAUGUUGUAUUUUAACUUUACUUACCACAUCAUGGUAGCCAUUUAUCUUUAGCAUAAAAUCCUUUUUUGUAGUUUCCUUCUUAAGCAAUCCAGCUAACCAAUCUAUAAAAAAAAAAUGCAUUUAAGCAUGUUACAGAUUCAAGCUUGUGUAAACAUGAAUAGUAAACAUGAACAGUUUCACCAGUCCAGCUAUAUUAUCCUUACAUCUUGUACAGUUUACUUCCAUAUGAGUGUGAUAGUUUUUUAAUGCUUUCAACAUAUUUUACAGUGUGAUAAUGUAUGUACACAAUGGUGUAAUAUGUGUAUACUUUUAUGGCAAUUAUCACAAUUUAUGCAGUAAAAUUGAAUCUAAAAAGAAAAACAAUACCUUCAAUCGGUUGAGCAUUUCUCUGGAUCAUUUUUUGACCACCUGGUGAAUUUAUGAAUUCGAUUCCUUUACUCAAUAUGAUUGAUAUCCCCUUGUUCUUUAUGGCAUUCUUCAAAAACGGGAAUGAGUUCAAUAGAGAAGAACUCCGAUCACCCAAAUCUUUAUUAAAAAAGCUGAAUGUAUCCAUCAUUAGUGAAUAUUCACCAUUCAUGGCUGCCUUUUGUUUUUCUUUCUGUUUCUUGGAGUUGUGAUUUGUCUGUCAAAUGAAAUUAACCAAUUAAGCAUACAUUAAUUAUGAAAAUGCACUAUCAAUCUCACUAAAACCUAUUAUGCUUAACUUUAACUAUGAUCAGUAUGCAUCAUACAACUAGUGCAACAACAAAAUCACUUAGUUUAUUAUAACUGUUAUCACCAAUUAGGCAUUUUAUCAAAUAGAAAACUUACAUCAUACAAUUAAAUGCAACAACAACAAAAUCACUUAGCUUAUUAUAACUGUUAUCACCAAUUAGGCAUUUUAGCAAAUAGAAGACGUGCAUUAUAAUCAAGACAUAAAUUAAAUGUAGAAUAGAAAUAUUCAAGAUUGCAAACACUUCAUUAUUAAUACUUCAGUAGCUAGAAAUGAAAACUAAAAUGGAACUAAAACAAAUCAAAAUUUCAUAAAUUAUCACAAUGAGGAAUGAAAUCCAAUGUGGGAGAAUGAUGAAGAAACAGGAAACUUACAUCAUACAAUUAAAUGCAACAACAACAAAAUCACUUAGCUUAUUAUAACUGUUAUCACCAAUUAGGCAUUUUAGCAAAUAGAAGACGUGCAUUAUAAUCAAGACAUAAAUUAAAUGUAGAAUAGAAAUAUUCAAGAUUGCAAACACUUCAUUAUUAAUACUUCAGUUGCUAGAAAUGAAAACUAAAAUGGAACUAAAACAAAUCAAAAUUUCAUUAAUUAUCACAAUGAGGAAUGAAAUCCAAUGUGGGAAAAUUACCCUUAAGCUUUGGAAAGCAAGAGAUGAAGAAACAGAAUGUUGGACAGUGAUGAACGAUUUGAACUAUCACUGCGGUUCUUGGAUAGUAUUUCUAAGUCACAAUUUCCAUUUGAUACUGGAAAGCAAGCUGUUAAAUUUUCUGCGUGGCUGAAGGAAAGGGACAAAGACCUUACUAAAAUGGGGACUGAUCUUGUUGAAGAUCUUCAAUUUGGGGACCCCCACUAUGCUCACAAGGCCCAUUGGACCUCAAGCCCAAUUGGUUUGGCCCAAUAACACGUUAACUCACUCUACUCGUUUAAUAACUAAAGUACUCGACAAAUGACUAAAGUUAUUAACUUAAUUAAAAUGUCACGUUAAUAAAAUAUUUUAACACACAAAAAUUAAUAAUUUGAAAAUUGGGUCGUUACAGAUCCGGCAGGUCGGACCUAUUGAUGGGUUAAAACACACAUAUAGUAAAAGAAAAGGGAAUAGAUGUAAUUUUAUUGAUAAUGUUUUAUCUUGCCGUCAUUCAACCUAAAGCUACAAAGGACUAUAAAAGGGUUUCUAAAAUUACAGCAAUGCCCUCAUGGGAAAGGAUAUUACAACCAAUACUAAAUAAAUGACACCUAAUAAAAUUACUAUUGUUUCUAGAACGGGAAAUAAAUUAAAAGAAACAAUCUAAUUAAAGGUGCUAGAAUUAAGAUAAACAUAAAUAGAUGAUUUUGCUAAUAGGCAACAUAAGUCGUAGCUCAAUUGACAAAAAAAUAUCGAAAUUGUUAGGCCGGACGUCGUGACUAGGGUUUGAACAUGGGUUCGAAAUUUUAUCGAUACGUUCAAUUUUUUAUAAAAAAUAAAAUAAAAA